UGAGCAGAAGAUGGCAGACUACUCAAAC
rnacentral:piRNA from 1 species